ACGGCCAUACCGUGAUGAAUAUACCGGUUCUCGUUAGAUCACCGAAGUCAAGCAUCAUUGGGCACGGUCAGUACGUGGGUGGGUGACCACCUGAGAACACCGCGUGCCGUU
rnacentral:rRNA from 1 species